CAAUAGCGUAUAUUUAAGUUGUUGCAGUUAAAAAGCUCGUAGUUGGAUUUCGGUUAAGAGCGACCGGUCCGCCGUUUGGUGUGCACUGGUUGGUUUUAACUUCCUGUAGAGGACGUGCUCUGGGUUUAACGACCUGGACUCGGAGUCUACGUGGUUACUUUGAAAAAAUUAGAGUGUUCAAAGCGGGCUUACGCUUGAAUAUUUCAGCAUGGAAUAACACUAUAGGACUCCUGUCCUAUUUCGUUGGUCUCGGGACGGGAGUAAUGAUUAAGAGGAACAGUUGGGGGCAUUCGUAUUUCAUUGUCAGAGGUGAAAUUCUUGGAUUUAUGAAAGACGAACUUCUGCGAAAGCAUCUGCCAAGGAUGUUUUCAUUAA
rnacentral:rRNA from 1 species